CUACUGCUUUAUGAGCUCAAAUCAAACGUUUUUCUGUAGAUAAUAAAAAAUAAUGAUCCAAAAUAGGAUGAAUCCUCACUGCAGAAACAAUAAAUAGUGGGGAGAGGGCGUCAAUCUGAUCCGUUUGGGAGACAAACGAGCCGACUCUUUUACGUGAACGGAGCUGAUUGAGCCGGCUCACUAAAAAGAGUCCGAAUGCCCAUCACAAAUAGACGCAAUUAGCUGCUGUACUUUUAUUUUGAAACCCCGUCGGAAGUGUUUUUAUUAUUUUUUACAGGAUCACACACUGCCCAGAAUGCACUUCGUCGAGACAGCUCUUGGUGGCGUUAUGAUGUGGGGAUAUCUCGGCAUCUACAAUUGCAUUUUGCUGUGGGACCUUAUAAAACGGUGUUUGGAUGUUGUAAAGACAAUUUGUCUGUGGCAUUUAGCUACUUUUUUUUCUGAUUCAAAGAUAUGGCUUAGUACAAAGAUGCAGAAAGCGAGGCUGGAAGAGCCAUGCAGCUGAUUUUUUUUUUUUAAAGCGUGAAAGAGAACAACUUUCACAGCUAAAGGAGAAAAUUGCUCAUGUCAGUCAACUUGUUAACGUUAGUUAGCUAAGUAACGUUAUUUUUCUUGCAUAUUCAAUGCUUUGUAGUUACUGAAAGCCUUCAACAUUACCUAUUUCCACCCCUCUUAACCAUCUGAAUGUCUCCUGCAGGACAACAUGGUCAAGUCCAACGUCAAUAAAAGUUCAAAGCUCAAUUAUGAUGCGGUGGAAGCAGAGCUCAAAUCCAGCACUGUUGGUCUGGUGACACUCAAUGAUAUGAAGGCCAGGCAGGAGGCUCUUGUGAAAGAAAGAGAAAAGCAACUGGCCAAGAAAGAGCAAACAAAGGAGUUGAUGCUUGACUCAUGAUUAUGUAGGAAGUCUUCUGUCGAAAGCUGUUGUCAGUAUCUCGUCUCUGCUCUCCUGUCUACCACCCGGAAGCUGGAGAAGAAGAGAAAGGAUGCCAGUUUAUCCUUUAAUCCUGAAGAGGAGGAGACGGAGGAGGAAGAGGACUGUGAGUGGUGUCAAUAAUAAAUCCACAAUACUUAUGUAUCUUAGCUGAUUAGCUGUUGUUGUCUCACCUGUUGUUUUAGCUAGCUCUCCCAAUCAACACCUGCGAUUACUUUAUGCCUCGCUGUAUGUCUCUCUCAAAUGUCAAUAUGCCUUGUAUACUG